AUUUUUUUAGUACUAAGUAGUAUAAGUGGCUUCCAACCUCAUGGUCUUGGUUAAAAUCCAAGAAAAAAUA
rnacentral:tRNA from 1 species